AACGAACGCUGGCGGCGCGCCUAAUACAUGCAAGUCGAGCGAGAAGACGUAGCAAUACGUUUGUAAAGCGGCGAACGGGUGAGGAAUACAUGGGUAACCUACCCUCGAGUGGGGAAUAACUAGCCGAAAGGUUAGCUAAUACCGCGUACGCUCCUUGGACUUCGGUUCAGGGAGGAAAGCGAUACCGUGGGUAUCGCGCUCUUGGAUGGGCUCAUGUCCUAUCAGCUUGUUGGUGAGGUAACGGCUCGCCAAGGCUUCGACGGGUAGCUGGUCUGAGAGGACGAUCAGCCACACUGGCACUGCGACACGGGCCAGACUCCUACGGGAGGCAGCAGUAAGGAAUAUUGCGACAAGUGGGACGAAA
rnacentral:rRNA from 1 species